rnacentral:lncRNA from 1 species
AUGCAAAUGAGGUUUACAAGGUGUAAAUGCAACUGCUGGACUGGCCGCUUGCUGGGAGCCUUGCCGCCCUUCUCCUGCUCCAGGCAAUGCUGCGCUUGUUUCUGGGGGCAGACUGCUGCUUUAUGGAAGGCCGGGGGUUGUCGCUCCUGGAGGAGAGAAAGCAGAGUGGUGUUGUGCCCACAUUCUGUCUUCAAGCAUUUAAAGGUACCAGCUGGCAGACUAUUCAAAGAAAAGAACCGUUCUUUCUGGAAAUACUCAGGACUGAAAUCAUCUAUCAGGGGGUUGAUAGAAGCUCUCUGGGAUCGAUUGCAGGAAGACUGUGCCAACCAUCGUUUUAGAAAUUUGAACAGAAUUAGAACAGCUUCUGGCACAGAAUUGAGCAUGUAG